rnacentral:rRNA from 1 species
GACGAACGCUGGCGGCGUGCUUAACACAUGCAAGUCGAACGCGAAAGCCCUUCGGGGCGAGUAGAGUGGCGAACGGGUGAGUAACACGUGGGCAACCUGCCCUAGGGAGCGGGACAACCCGAGGAAACUCGGGCUAAUACCGCAUGAUUCGCAGGCACUCAAGUGCCGGCGGGAAAUGGUAGCUUCGGCCUCCGCCCUAGGAUGGGCCCGCGGCGCAUUAGCUUGUUGGUGAGGUAACGGCCCACCAAGGCGACGAUGCGUAGCUGGUCUGAGAGGACGAUCAGCCACACUGGGACUGAGACACGGCCCAGACUCCUACGGGAGGCAGCAGUGGGGAAUCUUGCGCAAUGGGCGGAAGCCUGACGCAGCAACGCCGCGUGUGGGAAGACGGCCUUCGGGUUGUAAACCACUUUCAGGGGGGACGAAGCUUCCAGGGUUAAUAGCCCAUGGGGUGACGGUACCCCCAGAAGAAGCCCCGGCUAACUACGUGCCAGCAGCCGCCGCGUAACAC